rnacentral:rRNA from 1 species
GACGGAGGAUGCAAGCGUUAUCCGGAAUGAUUGGGCGUAAAGCGUCCGCAGGUGGCAGUUCAAGUCUGCUGUCAAAGACCGGGGCUUAACUUCGGGCCUGCAGUGGGUACGGGCAGACUAGAGUGCGGUAGGGGAGAUUGGAAUUCCUGGUGUAGCGGUGGAAUGCGCAGAUAUCAGGAGGAACACCGAUGGCGAAGGCAGAUCUCUGGGCCGUAACUGACGCUGAGGAGCGAAAGCAUGGGGAGCGAACAGG